UGAGUAACGAAAACAUUGGUGAGAAUCCAAUGCCCCGAAAACCCAAGGUUUCCUCCGCAGGAUUCGUCCACGGAGGGUGAGUCAGGGCCUAAGAUCAGGCCGAAAGGCGUAGUCGAUGGACAACAGAUCAAUAUUCCUGUACUACCUCUUGUUGGUACGGAGGGACGGAGGAGGCUAGGUUAGCAGAAAGAUGGUUAUAGGUUUAAGGACACAAGGUGACCGAUUCCGCAACAUUGUGGCUGUGUGCAGAGACCAUUCAUUUGAUAUGCUUCCCCCCGUUUCUUCCCACUAGUAAGCAAACAGCUGAAUCAUCGGCGCGUACACAGCGCAAACGGGAAAAACCCCGAAAGCUUCUUUAAUUCGUACAUAUUAAUUAUUUUCUGAGGACAUUGCAUUUUGUUUACCUCUCUUUUUAUGGACACCGCAGUGAGAU
rnacentral:ncRNA from 1 species